GACGAACGCUGGCGGCGUGCCUAAUACAUGCAAGUCGAGCGGACCAAAGGGAGCUUGCUCCUGGAGGUUAGCGGCGAACGGGUGAGUAACACGUGGGCAACCUGCCUGUAAGACUGGGAUAACAUCGAGAAAUCGGUGCUAAUACCGGAUAAUAAAAAGAACUGCAUGGUUCUUUUUUGAAAGAUGGUUUCGGCUAUCACUUACAGAUGGGCCCGCGGCGCAUUAGCUGGUUGGUGAGGUAACGGCUCACCAAGGCGACGAUGCGUAGCCGACCUGAGAGGGUGAUCGGCCACACUGGGACUGAGACACGGCCCAGACUCCUACGGGAGGCAGCAGUAGGGAAUCUUCCGCAAUGGACGAAAGUCUGACGGAGCAACGCCGCGUGAGUGAUGAAGGUUUUCGGAUCGUAAAACUCUGUUGUUAGGGAAGAACAAGUGCCGUUCGAAAGGGCGGCACCUUGACGGUACCUAACGAGAAAGCCACGGCUAACUACGUGCCAGCAGCCG
rnacentral:rRNA from 1 species